rnacentral:misc_RNA from 1 species
GAAGCUCAUUUUUGAAUUUCACUUGCUUUACUCAUUUGAAUUCCCACCACUUUGUUUGGCUCUUAGAGGCCGGAACCUUCAGCUAAAUGGAAGAUACUUAUUCUUAUGAAGUUACAUGUGAAGAUAAUUAUUCUCGUGAAGUUUUAGUCCAAUUUUCCACUUAAGCACUUAAAUUUGAUGGUGGGAACAGGAUAUGCUUUUGCACUAGUGUUGGUAGUCUAGUGCUAAAGUAUGUCUGAGCCUGGUAGUCUAGAGCAUAGUAAGCACAAUGAUUAAUUUUGAGUCUGGCAUAGACAUCUGUUAGAAUGUGGCCUCAAAUUUAUGUAUUCUGUUUGGUCUAGGAGUCCUGUCACAUUUGAUUAUAUGUGAUAAAAGUCAUUGGCAUUUAUAUUGUUUUUCUCUUGCCUCUAUUAUCUUACAUUUCUUUUUUCUUCCCUAAACUAUAUUUGGGGACAAUGUUAUCUAUCAUUCUAUUGUUAGUUCAAUCAAAGUAACUAAUCUUCAGCUAUGCAAAGUAACUUGGAAAUUGCAAUGAAAAGUAUUGUGUUUAUAAAGAAGCUAUCUCAAACAUUUACCUAAAACUAGAUUAACACAUACUUCAAUAAAGCAUUCAACUUUCAUAGUUCGCGAUACUUUCAUAUGGGACUUGGCCAGUCCAGAAAAAUCAAAAACCUCAAUGUGAGGAUUUCCUUGAGAUUCACUUAGAUUUUCCCCCUUCUCAUUUUGGGUGCAUUGGAUUUUGGAUUGCAGAACAGAAGAGAUGCAUGUAAUCAACAAAAAUUUGCUUGUCCGUUGAGUUUUCAACUUCUCAUUCUUCCCUGAUGUGAUUCUUUUUUAUUUCUUAAACAGCAUUACAAUUUUCUAUUUUGCAAAGGAAGAGGUCAAUUGUAAGUUUGUUCCUCUAUUUCCUGAAGCCCAUUUGCCUGUGAGAAUCCCCUUCCAGAAAUUUCUUGGGCAGAAAUUUCGUCAGCCUUUAGGAACAGGCAUUGACUUGGGUUUCUUCGAGCUGGAUGAUCUCUCGAAACCAUCACCUGGAGAAGAUGUUUUUCCACUUGUAGUAGUUGCUGAAACAUGCUUGCCAGUUGAUUCAACACAUGAACGUGAUGAUUCUUUGCAAAACACAUCUGGCCACAUGCAGAUUACUCAAUCUGUUCUUGAGAAGAAAAACAGUGACACUUUCCAAGUAAGAGUAGUACAGCAAAUUUUGUGAUUGAUGGAGUUCGAUAUGAGCUUCGAGAGCUUUAUGGAAUAGGAAUCUCAGAAGCUGAAGGCUUCAAUGAUUGUGACCCUGGGAAGGAAUGCGUGAUUUGUAUGACUGAACCCAAGGAUACUGCUAUGUUUCCUUGCCGACACAUGUGUAUGUGCAGCGAUUGUGCAAAAGCAUUGAGGCUUCAAUCAAAUAAGUGUCCCAUAUGUCGUCAACCAAUUGAAGAACUUAUAGAGAUUAAGAUAAAUAACGGUGAUCAAUAAGAAAUUCUUUGGUUCGCUCCAAUUUGAAUUUAUGGUAAAGAAUUCAACGCUUUUUUUCUUGCUACAUAUUUGCCCUUAGAAUGUGUAUGCUAAUUGUUUUGUAUAUUUUGUCCCUGCAUCAGUUUUCAAGUUUUUUGUGGCUUUGUACAAAGAUAAAUGCGUAGAACUAAUCUUCCAAAGACAAUUUAUCAAGAAAAAAUAUUAAUUGAGCCUUUAGCCAUCUAUAUUAUUGUCUUGUUUGUGGCUGAAAAUUAACAUGUCUUAUCUUGAUCGUCUAGUUCUUGCUGGAAACGCGUUAUUUUAAAUACCUCUAGUUUGCAAGGAUUUGUGCAGCUCACUUUUUCUGUUAAAUAACAUUAUGUCCAUGAGGUGGAAGAAUAAUCUUUUUCCUAAUUGAAAAAUCUUGUUUUAAGUUUUCAAGGAAUGUGAAAUGUCCAAGGAAGUAUUACGACUCCUGUUUCUUGCUUUACUCUCUUACCUUCUUUGGGUAAGUUCCAUACCCGGACACUUCAUCAUUGAUUUCAGUUUUUGUUUGUAUGAUGUGAAUAUAUGUACAUCUAAAAUAAACAUUUUCUGUGGUGAGGAAUCACGGACACGGAGAUUCAAAAGACGAGAAAGAGAAGUAGUGAAACAACUAGUUUGGAGGAACCUACCAAGUCUAUAGAAGUAGCUCUUUGCCUUUAAGCUAAUGGCCAAAAAGAGAGGCUGAGUGGGAAUAUUUGCCAUAGAAGUUAGCAUUAAAGGUGACAAACUGAGAAUCUUCAAAGUUUAUGUAUAACUUUAGUAGUUGUUACCUUUGAAUGGAUGAGGAUAUGCAAUCAUGCUAAUCACCCUUUGCAUCGUAUUCCUUGCCAGUGAAGGAUGCAGAAGUGAUUUUUCUGUAAUUGCACAAUUCUGUAUCAUUUCUUUUAUCAACUUUGCUUUGUUGAUCAGGUUAGACUGGAAUUAUUUUUGUAUAUCUUGGUCCUCUUUUUGGAUUGUUCUUCAAGUUUUGUGAGUCCAUAGUGUCACCUUAAUGGUUGGGCAUUUAAAAAGGUCACCAUCCCAUCCACCUUUGCUAAUUCAACUACGGACUAGUUCCAAGUGAGCGUUGCAAGUAGUUUAGCUGGUGGCUAUAAAGGUGUGUCCAUAAGCAAACAGCCCUAUCUUGGAAAGCUGAGGCUUAGCUCCAGAGCUUGGCAGCGCUUCACGUUGCUUUACAAUUUGUCUCAGUGAGCUCGUGGCUCAUGCUAGGAGUUCCAAAUUAUCAACCCAUACAAAUGUGCAGUCUCAUAUGCUGAAAGUGUGGAAACAAGAGACAUUGCUAUAGUUUUAAUAAGUAUCAAUUUCC